rnacentral:lncRNA from 1 species
UCCAAAUCAAGGCAAUGGAGCUUCAAAUCCAACCUACAAGAGUGUUCUACACUCAUCAAUUCCACCCUAAGGUAUCGUUUGGUUCGGGGAUAAGCAAAAAGUGGCUAUUCCAGGAAUAUUUAUAAAUUGAGGUAUAAACGGGGAUUAGAUCAAUUUUGCAUUUGGAUGAAAAUUGGGUUAUUUCUGAGAAUAAAAAAAAAUAGCGUUUGGUUAGGUAAGAUGGAAUACAAAUUUAAGUGGAUAGUUAUAAAUAAAAAAUAAUGAUAUUAUCCUCUUCUUUAUAUUAAAAUUUAAAUUUUUAUAUUUUNAAAAAAUUUAAAAUAUCAAAUUUUAAAAUUUAAAAUUAAACAAUUUAAAAUUUAAUUUUUUUUAAUUUUGUAAUUUUAAAAAUUAUAAAUUUUUAUUUUUUAACUUACAAAAUUUAAAAUUUAAAAUAAAUUAAAAAUUCUCUUUCUUACUCUCUCUCUCUCUCUCUCUCUCUUCACGGGUGGAACAAGCUGGGUAAUGCCAGCUUGUUCCACCCUGGAGUGGGAACACUAAUUCCUAUCUUAAUGAGCUAUUCUAGUUCCUACCCCUUAAUGGGCU